rnacentral:pre_miRNA from 14 species
GGAGGAGGGUCUCCUUGAGGGGCCUCUGCCUCUACCCAGGGCUCUCCCGUGACCAGGAGGCUGAGGCCCCUCACAGGCGGCUUCUCACCAU